rnacentral:rRNA from 1 species
AUUGAACGCUGGCGGCAGGCUUAACACAUGCAAGUCGAGCGGGGGAAGGUAGCUUGCUGCCGGACCUAGCGGCGGACGGGUGAGUAAUGCUUAGGAAUCUGCCUAUUAGUGGGGGACAACAUCUCGAAAGGGAUGCUAAUACCGCAUACGUCCUACGGGAGAAAGCAGGGGAUCUUCGGACCUUGCGCUAAUAGAUGAGCCUAAGUCGGAUUAGCUAGUUGGUGGGGUAAAGGCCUACCAAGGCGACGAUCUGUAGCGGGUCUGAAAGGAUGAUCCGCCACACUGGGACUGAGACACGGCCCAGACUCCUACGGGAGGCAGCAGUGGGGAAUAUUGGACAAUGGGGGGAACCCUGAUCCAGCCAUGCCGCGUGUGUGAAGAAGGCCUUAUGGUUGUAAAGCACUUUAAGCGAGGAGGAGGCUACUCUAGUUAAUACCUAGGGAUAGUGGACGUUGCUCGCAGAAUAAGCACCGGCUAACUCUGUGCCAGCAGCCGCGGUAA